rnacentral:rRNA from 1 species
AUACGAAGGUCCCAAGCGUUAUUCGGGAUCACUGGGCGUAAAGCGUAUGUAGGCGGUUUGGUAUGUCAGGUGUGAAAUCCCGAAGCUCAACUUCGGAACUGCAUCCGAUACUGCUAGACUUGAGUAAUGGAGAGGCAGGUGGAAUUCUCGGUGUAGCAGUGAAAUGCGUGGAUAUCGAGAGGAAGACCAAUGGCGAAGGCAGCCUGCUGGACAUUUACUGACGCUGAGAUACGAAGGCUAGGGUAGCGAAAGGGAUUAGAAACCCUAGUAGUCC